GACGAAGGGGGCUAGCGUUGCUCGGAAUCACUGGGCGUAAAGCGCACGUAGGCGGACUCUUAAGUCGGUGGUGAAAUCCUGGAGCUCAACUCCAGAACUGCCUUCGAUACUGGGAGUCUCGAGUCCGAGAGAGGUGAGUGGAACUGCGAGUGUAGAGGUGAAAUUCGUAGAUAUUCGCAAGAACACCAGUGGCGAAGGCGGCUCACUGGCUCGGUACUGACGCUGAGGUGCGAAAGCGUGGGGAGCAAACAGG
rnacentral:rRNA from 1 species